UACAGAGGGUGCGAGCGUUAAUCGGAAUUACUGGGCGUAAAGCGUGCGUAGACGGUUAUGUAAGUCGGAUGUGAAAGCCCCGGGCUCAACCUGGGAAUUGCAUUCGAGACUGCAUAGCUAGGGUGCGGAAGAGGGAAGCGGAAUUUCCGGUGUAGCGGUGAAAUGCGUAGAUAUCGGAAGGAACACCAGUGGCGAAAGCGGCUUCCUGGUCCAGCACCGACGUUCAGGCACGAAAGCGUGGGGAGCAAACAGG
rnacentral:rRNA from 1 species